rnacentral:misc_RNA from 1 species
AUUCAGGGUCAAGUUUGCAUG